GGAAAGUCCUAUACAUAUAAAUGGAACUUUAUUUUGAGGAAAUACAAACAGCGUAUUUGAAGAAAUAUGACUAUAAUAAGCACCAAUACUAACAUCAAAUACUCUUUCUGUGUUUAUGUUGUUGCCCCACGUUAAGCUAUGAUUAGAUGCAAUUGAUCAUCAUCAAGAUACUAUUUCAAACAAUAACAAAGAAAAAAAAAAAAGUUGGAUCAAAAUUAGAAAGGAAAAAAUAGAGAGAGAACUAAAGAAAUAAUUUUAAUUAAAAAAAAGCAUGAAGUAGGAUACCUCAC
rnacentral:lncRNA from 1 species